CGUGUAGGCGGCUCGAUAAGUCUGCUGUGAAAGUCCAGGGCUCAACCCUGGAAGGCCGGUGGAAACUGUCGGGCUAGAGUCCGGAAGAGGCGAGUGGAAUUCCCGGUGUAGCGGUGAAAUGCGCAGAUAUCGGGAGGAACACCAAUGGCGAAGGCAGCUCGCUGGGACGGUACUGACGCUGAGACGCGAAAGCGUGGGGAGCAAACAGGAUUAGAUACCCUGGUAGUCCACGCCGUAAACGAUGGGCACUAGGUGUGGGAGGUGUCGACUCCUCCCGUGCCGGCGCUAACGCAUUAAGUGCCCCGCCUGGGGAGUACGGCCGCAAGGCUAAA
rnacentral:rRNA from 1 species